rnacentral:rRNA from 1 species
CGUUGUGCCUUUCGGCAGUCGACUAGAGUUUGAUCCUGGCUCAGGAUGAACGCUGGCGGCGUGCCUAAUACAUGCAAGUCGAGCGAAUGGAUUGAGAGCUUGCUCUCAAGAAGUUAGCGGCGGACGGGUGAGUAAACAACGUGGGUAAACCUGCCCAUAAGACUGGGAUAACUCCGGGAAACCGGGGCUAAUACCGGAUAACAUUUUGAACUGCAUGGUUCGAAAUUGAAAGGCGGCUUCGGCUGUCACUUAUGGAUGGACCCGCGUCGCAUUAGCUAGUUGGUGAGGUAACGGCUCACCAAGGCAACGAUGCGUAGCCGACCUGAGAGGGUGAUCGGCCACACUGGGGACUGAGACACGGCCCAGACUCCUACGGGAGGCAGCAGUAGGGAAUCUUCCGCAAUGGACGAAAGUCUGACGGAGCAACGCCGCGUGAGUGAUGAAGGCUUUCGGGUCGUAAAACUCUGUUGUUAGGGAAGAACAAGUGCUAGUUGAAUAAGCUGGCACCUUGACGGUACCUAACCAGAAAGCCACGGCUAACUACGUGCCAGCAGCCGCGGUAA